rnacentral:sRNA from 1 species
GCUGGGUGCGGUGGCACACACCUGUAAUCCCAGUGACUCAGGAGGCUGAGGCAGGAAAAUCACCAUUUUGAGGGCAACCUCGGUAACUCAGUGAGACCCUGUUUCUA